UGAUGUCUUUGCUUCAUUUGAAAUUGGGA
rnacentral:piRNA from 1 species